rnacentral:rRNA from 1 species
GGGGGGGGGUGGGGGGGGGGGGGGGGGGUGGGGGGCGGGGGGGGGGGGAGGGGGAGCUGGGGGUUGGGGGUGGGGAGUGGGGGGGGGGGGGGGAAGAGGUCGGGCUGGAGGUUUUGGUGGGGGGGACCGUGGGGGGGGUUACGCUGAUACCGGCGCCGGCCUGCGGGGGAAGGGCGGGGAUCGUCGUCCCAUGUGCGGGUGGAGGGUCCGAGUUGGGAUUAGCUAGUUGGCGGUGUAAAGUCCCACCAAGUAGACGGUCCGUAGCUAGUCUGAGGGGAUGAUCAGCCACACUGGAACUGCGACACGGUCCAGCCUCCUACGGGAGGCACCAGUGGGGAAUAUUGGACAAUGGGCGCAAGCCUGAUCCAGCCAUACCGCGUGGGUGAAGAAGGCCUUCGGGUUGGAAAGCCCUUUUGUUGGGAAAGAAAAGCAGCAGGUUAAUACCCCGCUGUUCUGACGGUACCCAAAGAAUAAGCACCGGCUAACUUCGUG